rnacentral:tRNA from 1 species
GCGGAAGUGGCGGAAUUGGUAGACGCGCUAGGUUCAGGGUCUAGUGGCAAUUGCUGUCGUGGGAGUUCGAGUCUCCCCUUCCGCA